CGCGGCCUAUCAKCUUGUUGGUGGGGUGAUGGCCCACCAAGGCGACGACGGGUAGCCGGCCUGAGAGGGUGUCCGGCCACACUGGGACUGAGAUACGGCCCAGACUCCUACGGGAGGCAGCAGUGGGGAAUAUUGCACAAUGGGCGCAAGCCUGAUGCAGCGACGCCGCGUGGGGGAUGACGGCCUUCGGGUUGUAAACCUCUUUCACCAUCGACGAAGGUCCGGGUUUUCUCGGAUUGACGGUAGGUGGAGAAGAAGCACCGGCCAACUACGUGCCAGCAGCCGCGGUAAUACGUAGGGUGCGAGCGUUGUCCGGAAUUACUGGGCGUAAAGAGCUCGUAGGUGGUUUGUCGCGUUGUUCGUGAAAUCUCACGGCUUAACUGUGAGCGUGCGAGCGAUACGGGCAGACUUGAGUACUGCAGGGGAGACUGGAAUUCCUGGUGUAGCGGUGGAAUGCGCAGAUAUCAGGAGGAACACCGGUGGCGAAGGCGGGUCUCUGGGCAGUAACUGACGCUGAGGAGCGAAAGCGUGGGGAGCGAACAGGAUUAGAUACCCUGGUAGUCCACGCCGUAAACGGUGGGUACUAGGUGUGGGUUUCCUUCCUUGGGAUCCGUGCCGUAGCUAACGCAUUAAGUACCCCGCCUGGGGAGUACGG
rnacentral:rRNA from 1 species